GUCCACAUUUGAAUGAGCCGCUUACAAAGGUGCAAAUGAUUUAGAGUGACUCAUUGGCAUGGUUCCACCUUAACCAGUGCUUGAGAAAACUCCUGAAGACGGUUUUUUGACUUGACUGCAUCCAAGUUAUGGCAAGAUCCAGGAGAAGAAAAAUCACUUCUUAAACUUCUUGUGCUAAACAACACCCAGCAUGGGGCCCUGUGUGCUCAUAAAUUCCUUACUCCUACAGAGUACACUUCAAUUUACAGAGUGUCUUCACAGAUUUAUCUCAGUGUUCAUUGCUGAAGUGGAGGACCAAUAUUUCUGACUUUAUGAUGUACGAAUGUUUGGAUGAGCUGCAGAAGGUUGAGCAAAG
rnacentral:lncRNA from 1 species